CCUUGUGCCAGCAGCCGCGGUAAAACCAGCUCUUCAAGUGGUCGGGAUAAUUAUUGGGCUUAAAGUGUCCGUAGCCGGUUUAGUAAGUUCCUGGUAAAACCGGGCGGCUUAACUGUCCGUAUGCUAGGAAUACUGCUAUGCUAGAGGGCGGGAGAGGUCUGAGGUACUACAGGGGUAGGGGUGAAAUCUUAUAAUCCUUGUAGGACCACCAGUGGCGAAAGCGUCAGACUGGAACGCGCCUGACGGUGAGGGACGAAAGCCAGGGGAGCGAACCGGAUUAGAUACCCGGGUAGUCCUGGCCGUAAACGAUGCAUACUAGGCAAUGGUGCGGCCAUGAGCCGCAUCAGUACCGUAGGGAAACCGUUAAGUGUGCCGCCUGGGAAGUACGGUCGCAAGGCUAAAACUUAAAGGAAUUGGCGGGGGAGCACCACAAGGGGUGAAGCUGCGGUUCAAUUGGACUCAACGCCGGGAAACUUACCAGGGGAGACAGCAGAAUGACAGUCAGGUUGACGACCUUACUCGACGAGCUGAGAGGAGGUGCAUGGCCGUCGCCAGUUCGUGCUGUGAGGUAUCCUGUUAAGUCAGGCAACGAACGAGAUCUGCGCCUUUAUUUGCCAUCAAGAAGUCACGACUUCGUUGGGAACACUAAAGGGACCGCCGUCGAUAAGACGGAGGAAGGAGCGGGCAAAGGCAGGUCUGU
rnacentral:rRNA from 1 species